AACGAACGCUGGCGGCAGGCCUAACACAUGCAAGUCGAGCGAGGUAGCAAUACCUAGCGGCGGACGGGUGAGUAACGCGUGGGAACGUGCCCUUUGCUUCGGAAUAGCCCCGGGAAACUGGGAGUAAUACCGAAUGUGCCCUACGGGGGAAAGAUUUAUCGGCAAAGGAUCGGCCCGCGUUGGAUUAGGUAGUUGGUGGGGUAAUGGCCUACCAAGCCGACGAUCCAUAGCUGGUUUGAGAGGAUGAUCAGCCACACUGGGACUGAGACACGGCCCAGACUCCUACGGGAGGCAGCAGUGGGGAAUCUUAGACAAUGGGCGCAAGCCUGAUCUAGCCAUGCCGCGUGAGCGAUGAAGGCCUUAGGGUUGUAAAGCUCUUUCGUGGGGGAAGAUAAUGACGGUACCCCAAGAAGAAGCCCCGGCUAACUUCGUGCCAGCAGCCGCCGUAAGAC
rnacentral:rRNA from 1 species